GUGAAUCAUCAAAUCUUUGAACGCAAAUUGCACUCUCUUCGGAGAGUAUGCCUGUUUGAGGGUCAGCCUAAAAAAAAUCGACAUAGUUGCUGUUUCGCGGUGACAUUCGUCGGAAAUUGGGUCAUCUUAAACCUUUGGGUUUAAGCGACUUAAAAUUUUCUUACGAUCUCGCGAACGUUUCUAAGAUUUUCUUGCACGCUCAAGGUAUCGAUUUAUUAGACGUGGCCGUCAUAUCGGAUCGCGUCCAUAAUCUUUCAUUAACUGACCUCAGACAGGUAAGAGUACCCGCUGAACUUAAGCA
rnacentral:misc_RNA from 1 species